GAUUAUGUCUGCGUUUACGCCAGUGGCGUAUCGAGAAGUAUUGACAUGGAUGGGACUAGUGGGGGUGUGACCGAAUGCGGGAGAGAAUUGAUGGUUUGAUGAAGGUUUAGCUGACAAAAUAAGGUUGGUAACUAUGAGACAGGACCACAGAAAUGACUGCAACAUUGCUAUGACAUGGGCACCCGAAGGAAAGAAAAUGAAUGCAAGGCCUAAGACAACAUGGCGGCGGACAACAGAAAAAGAAAAAAUAGAGCAGGAUGGACCCAUGGGGAAGAACAACAUCUGCGGCAGCUGAUAAGAACAGAUGGAGGAAUCUGUUGAGGACUUAAGCGCCACUUGGUGCGAAGCAGAUAGUCUAUUGUUCCUGCAAAUAAUACAUGCAAAUGGCUUCGGGAAAACACUGGUUAGGGGAAAUUUCAACUCUACACCUCCAUCAUGAUAAAAGAGUUACUGUUCUACAUUUUCAUUUUCAAUGUGCUACUGUGCACUUGAUAAAAUGAUUUUAAAAAUCAGGAUGACUCAUUGUUUUGAAGUAUGCAUCGUCAUCAUGACUAUUGGCAGUUGAACCUCCAAAUCAAAGUUUCACAAAGUUACUUGGUUAUAGAACUUUUUUGAUGGUAGAGAACGUGGUGGUAGAGAACGUAGGUCCGAUAUUAGAUUAUGUGAAUCAAUUGUGAACUUUGGCCUACAACUAAAUUAACUUGACUCAAAGGCUUAAUAUUUACCAAUUUAUAUUAGGAUAUGCUCGGUUGAAUUUGUACAAUGUAACGUCCUGAGCAAUAUGUAACAUACCAGCUACCAAAGUAGUGUCAAUCGAAGCGGUAUUCAUACAUACCAACCAAUAUAACGUGCUUUUGAGUUGUAAUACAA